GCCUAGCCCUGAUUGAAACGGCAUCUUUUUUGCUUUUUUAAGCAAAAAAAUACAGUGGAAAGCAGGAAAUAGC
rnacentral:sRNA from 1 species